rnacentral:rRNA from 1 species
ACGGCUCAGUAACACGUGGGUAACCUGCCUUACACAGGGGGAUAGCCUUCCGAAAGGAAGAUUAAUACCGCAUAAGAAGUAGAUAUCGCAUGGUAUCAGCUUUAAAGGAGUAAUCCGGUGUAAGAUGGACCCGCGGCGCAUUAGCUAGUUGGUGAGGUAAUGGCUCACCAAGGCGACGAUGCGUAGCCGACCUGAGAGGGUGAUCGGCCACAUUGGAACUGAGAGACGGUCCAGACUCCUACGGGAGGCAGCAGUGGGGAAUAUUGCACAAUGGAGGAAACUCUGAUGCAGCAACGCCGCGUGAGUGACGAAGGCCUUCGGGUUGUAAAGCUCUGUCAUCUGGGACGAUAAUGACGGUACCAGAGGAGGAAGCCACGGCUAACUACGUGCCAGCAGCCGCGGUAAUACGUAGGUGGCGAGCGUUGUCCGGAAUUACUGGGCGUAAAGGAUGCGUAGGUGGGAAUUUAAGUCAGAUGUGAAAUACCCGAGCUUAACUUGGGCACUGCAUUUGAAACUGAAUUUCUUGAGUGCAGGAGAGGAAAGCGGAAUUCCUAGUGUAGCGGUGAAAUGCGUAGAGAUUAGGAAGAACACCAGUGGCGAAGGCGGCUUUCUGGACUGUAACUGACACUGAGGCAUGAAAGCGUGGGGAGCAAACAGGAUUAGAUACCCUGGUAGUCCACGCUGUAAACGAUGGGUACUAGGUGUGGGAGGUAUCGACUCCUUCCGUGCCGCAGUUAACACAAUAAGUACCCCGCCUGGGGAGUACGAUCGCAAGAUUAAAACUCAAAGGAAUUGGCGGGGGAGCAC